GAUGAACGCUGGCGGCGUGCCUAAUACAUGCAAGUCGAGCGAACGGACGAGAAGCUUGCUUCUCUGAUGUUAGCGGCGGACGGGUGAGUAACACGUGGAUAACCUACCUAUAAGACUGGGAUAACUUCGGGAAACCGGAGCUAAUACCGGAUAAUAUUUUGAACCGCAUGGUUCAAAAGUGAAAGACGGUCUUGCUGUCACUUAUAGAUGGAUCCGCGCUGCAUUAGCUAGUUGGUAAGGUAACGGCUUACCAAGGCAACGAUGCAUAGCCGACCUGAGAGGGUGAUCGGCCACACUGGAACUGAGACACGGUCCAGACGCCUACGGGAGGCAGCAGUAGGGAAUCUUCCGCAAUGGGCGAAGGCCUGACGGAGCAACGCCGCGUGAGUGAUGAAGGUCUUCGGAUCGUAAAACCCUGUUAUUAGGGAAGAACAUAUGUGUAAGUAACUGUGCACAUCUUGACGGUACCUAAUCAGAAAGCCACGGCUAACUACGUG
rnacentral:rRNA from 1 species